UACGUAGGGUGCGAGCGUUAAUCGGAAUUACUGGGCGUAAAGUGUGCGCAGGUGGCUUCGCAAGUCGAGUGUGAGAUCCCCGGGCUUAACCUGGGAAUUGCGCUCGAAACUACGGAGCUGGAGUAUGGCAGAGGGAGGUGGAAUUCCACGUGUAGCGGUGAAAUGCGUAGAGAUGUGGAGGAACACCGAUGGCGAAGGCAGCCUCCUGGGCCAGCACUGACGCUCAUGCACGAAAGCGUGGGGAGCAAACAGG
rnacentral:rRNA from 1 species